GACGAACGCUGGCGGCGUGCCUAACACAUGCAAGUGGAGCGACGAACCAGGGCUUGCCCUGGGGCAAAGCCGCGAACGGGUGAGUAACACGUGGGUAACCUGCCCCGAUGACCGGGACAACCCGAGGAAACUCGGGCUAAUACCGGAUGUGCUCUUCACACAUCCGUGUGUUGAGUAAAGGAAGCUUCGGCCUCCGCUUCGGGAGGGGCCCGCGGCCCAUUAGCUAGUUGGUGAGGUAAAGGCUCACCAAGGGAACGAUGGGUAGCUGGUCUGAGAGGACGAUCAGCCACACUGGGACCGAGACACGGCCCAGACUCCUACGGGAGGCAGCAGUGGGGAAUCUUGCGCAAUGCGCGAAGGCUUGACGCAGCAACGCCGCGUGGGGGAAGAAGGCCUUCGGGUUGUAAACCCCUUUCAGGAGGGACGAAGGUUCGGCCGCGAAUAGCGGUCCGGACUGACGGUACCUCCAGAGGAAGCCCCGGCUAACUACGUGCCAGCCGCCGCAGUAA
rnacentral:rRNA from 1 species